rnacentral:rRNA from 1 species
GACGAACGCUGGCGGCGUGCUUAACACAUGCAAGUCGAACGGAAAGGCCCCUUUGGGGGUCCUCGAGUGGCGAACGGGUGAGUAACACGUGAGUAACCUGCCCUUGACUUCGGGAUAACUUCAGGAAACUGGGGCUAAUACCGGAUAGGAAUCCUUGCUUCAUGGUGGGGGUUGGAAAGCUUCGGCGGUUUUGGAUGGACUCGCGGCUUAUCAGCUUGUUGGUGGGGUAGUGGCUUACCAAGGCUUUGACGGGUAGCCGGCCUGAGAGGGCGACCGGCCACAUUGGGACUGAGAUACGGCCCAGACUCCUACGGGGGGGAGCAGUGGGGAAUAUUGCCAAAUGGGCGGAAGCCUGAUGAAGCAACGCCGCGUGCGGGAUGACGGCCUUCGGGUUGUAAACCGCUUUCAGCAGGGGCGAAGCUUGUGGUGACGGUACCUGCAGAAGAAGCACCGGCUAACUACGUG